AGCCAUUCUGUUUUCUGUUGUUAAUACUUGAUUUAUGUGCAGACCACGUACCUAGCUCCAAUGGAGAAAUCAGGUACAAGUAUGGACUUUCAUCAGUUGAGUUGAUGUUUUACAAUGGAAUUUGAUCGCUCCCUUUCCUGCUAAUCUUUAUAAUCUGUUCCACUUAAAUUUAGGACUAUUUUGUUAAACUUGCUUAUGUGAAGCAACAACUGGUCUAGUGAUUCUUGCUGUGCUAUUAUUUUUUAAUGAAAUUAACAGGGUAAUCACAUUUCCUCUAUAAUUGUUAGUCUAGCAAGGAGUGAGCAUGCAUCUCAGGCAUUAUCAGCUGGGACAAGGUUGAAAGAAGGUUGCCACAUAAAUCACAGUUUGUUGACCCGAGGAACUGUCAUUCUCAAGGUUUCAAAAGAUGGCUCAAAUUGAGCAAGCUAGAGAUUGUAGAUCUACUUUUUUUUCCUUUCACUUCUCAUUCACUUCUUAUUGGGAAGAAUAGAGGGAGGGAGAAAAUUCAUACAAGGUGCUUCUGUUUAUCACUCAAAAGAGGGUCAUUUGCAUUCUACAAGUACUAAUUUCUCUUGGGCGGGUUUUGAUUUUUCUUUCUAAAUUACUAAAAAGCAUAUGCUGCCUGCCCAUGUGAUUGGACAACCUAACCAUGUGAUUACUAAGACUUCACCUCAUUUGGAAUGCCACUCUUUCUUUUAAUUUGGGUAGUAAAACUGUGUUUGAGAUGUUUCAGUUGGCACUUGAGGAAACUGUAUGAGAACAAAUUACCUUUUUCACAAGAGGAUUUGUGUGGACAAAGAGGCAGGAGAUAGCUAUAUUGGUCAAGCUGGGAGUGGACCACAUGGAUGAUUUUUUUAAUGUAUUCAGACAAUUUUCAACUUACUGUUGUAAAUAUUAUAUAUCUUUUCUUGUAAAGUUGUACAAUAUUUGUUUAAUAUUCAUUUUUAAUU